rnacentral:snRNA from 1 species
AUCGCUUCUCGGCCUUCUGGCUAAGAUCAAGUGUAGUAUCUGUUCUUAUCAGUUUAAGUUUAUUUAUUUUUGAGAGAGAGACAUGAUGGGGGAGGGGCAGAGAGAGAGGGAGGGAGGUACUCCCA